GAUGAACGCUGGCGGCGUGCCUAAUACAUGCGAGUCGAGCGAACAGACGAGGAGCUUGCUCCUCUGACGUUAGCGGCGGACGGGUGAGUAACACGUGGAUAACCUACCUAUAAGACUGGGAUAAAUUCGGGAAACCGGAGCUAAUACCGGAUAAUAUAUUGAACCGCAUGGUUCAAUAGUGAAAGACGGUUUUGAUGUCACUUAUAGAUGGAUCCGCGCCGCAUUAGCUAGUUGGUAAGGUAACGGCUUACCAAGGCAACGAUGCGUAGCCGACCUGAGAGGGUGAUCGGCCACACUUGAACUGAGACACGGUCCAGACUCCUACGGGAGGCAGCAGGAGGGAAUCUUCCGCAAUGGGCGAAAGCCUGACGGAGCAACGCCGCGUGAGUGAUGAAGGUCUUCGGAUCGUAAAACUCUGUUAUUAGGGAAGAACAAAUGUGUAAGUAACUAUGCACGUCUUGACGGUACCUAAUCAGAAAGCCACGGCUAACUACGUG
rnacentral:rRNA from 1 species